GGUCACCAAAAUUACCCGGCAAUACAAUGGAGUUAAGGUCACUACUGAAGACGGUACGAACUACUUCGCCGACGCUUGCAUAAUCACAGUGCCACUCGGUGUGCUCAAGGCGAACAUAAUCAAGUUCGAGCCUGAACUGCCCCCAUGGAAGAGCUCUGCCAUCGCGGACCUCGGUGUUGGCAUUGAGAACAAGAUCGCCAUGCACUUCGACAGAGUCUUCUGGCCCAACGUCGAGGUGCUGGGAAUAAGUGGUCCGACGCCUAAAGCAUGUGGAUACUUCCUGAACCUCCACAAGG
rnacentral:lncRNA from 1 species